rnacentral:misc_RNA from 1 species
UCCAACUUAUCGCUGGCGGUCUCCUGAGAGUGCAUCCCUGCGGAUUAGCAACACAGGACAAGGGUUGCGCUCGUUGCGGGACUUAACCCAACAUCUCACGACACGAGCUGACGACAGCCAUGCAGCACCUCGACCCCACUCCCUUGCGGGAUAGCAGUGUUUCCACUGCCGUUGAGAGGCCGUUCGAGCCCAGGUAAGGUUCUUCGCGUUGCAUCGAAUUAAGCCACAUGCUCCGCCGCUUGUGCGGGUCCCCGUCAAUUCCUUUGAGUUUUAGCCUUGCGGCCGUACUCCCCAGGCGGAGUGCUUAAUGCGUUAGCUGCGGCACAGAGAGGGUUGAAGGCCUCCCCACACCUAGCACUCAACGUUUACGGCUGGGACUAC